rnacentral:rRNA from 1 species
AACGAACGCUGGCGGCAUGCCUAACACAUGCAAGUCGAACGAGACCUUCGGGGCUAGUGGCGCACGGGUGCGUAACGCGUGGGAACCUGCCCUUAGGUUCGGAAUAACUCCCCGAAAGGGGUGCUAAUACCGGAUAAUGUCUUCGGGCCAAAGAUUUAUCGCCUUUGGAUGGGCCCGCGUUGGAUUAGCUAGUUGGUAGGGUAAAAGCCUACCAAGGCGACGAUCCAUAGCUGGUCUGAGAGGAUGAUCAGCCACACUGGGACUGAGACACGGCCCAGACUCCUACGGGAGGCAGCAGUGGGGAAUAUUGGACAAUGGGCGAAAGCCUGAUCCAGCAAUGCCGCGUGAGUGAUGAAGGUCUUAGGGUUGUAAAGCUCUUUUACCCGGGAUGAUAAUGACAGUACCGGGAGAAUAAGCCCCGGCUAACUCCGUG